rnacentral:rRNA from 1 species
AUACUGAGGGUGCAAGCGUUAAUCGGAAUUACUGGGCGUAAAGCGAGUGUAGGUGGCUGCAUAGUCGGAUGUGAAAGCCCUGGGCUUAACCUGGGAAUUGCAUUCGAUACUGUGCAGCUAGAGUUUGGUAGAGGAAAGUGGAAUUCCGGGUGUAGCGGUGAAAUGCGUAGAUAUCCGGAGGAACAUCAGUGGCGAAGGCGGCUUUCUGGACUAAAACUGACACUGAGGCUCGAAAGCGUGGGGAGCAAACAGGAUUAGAAACCCUAGUAGUCC